GGAUAUUCUUGGCAGCAUUAUACCAUCUCCCUAGUUUUCAGUCAAUGGGGUUGGAUUUGAUGAUGAAUCAUUCCCUGCUCCUCGCUAUUUAUGUUUCCUCUCUAGUUUUCUUUAUCAUCUUCCGCGUCAUAUUUCUUGGACUCUGGUAUUUGGGUCUUGUUUCUCGCAUAGCAGAGAAACAGCAAGUGAUGCUUACUAUAAUCCAAAAUUGUGCAGUGAUAAGUACAGCUUGCUGCGUGUUCUACAGUCACUGUGGUAGCAGAACUCUUUCGAGGGACAAAUCCAUUGAUCGUAGAACUGCUAACUGGGUUGCAUUUUCUCUGUGGAGAAAGCAAAAUGAGGACAAUACACUGAUUUCAAAGCUAUUGCGUAUGCAUAAGUUUAAUGACCAGAUUUGCCCAUCCUGGUUUGCUCCGCUUCCAAUGGAUCCGAACACUCCAACAUCAUUUCACCUGUCUACUCUUUCUGGGCUAUAUUCAUUGGACUUUGCAUGGCUAAUUAUGUCGUGGAGUGGUCAACUGGAUGGGCUCUAACUCAUCCUUUACCAAUUUCGGAGUAUGAGAAUCUGAAGAAACUGUUGAAAUCUGAUUUUGAGGACACGGUUCGUCAGUAUUCUGCGACCUCAACAGAUUUGCUUAAAACUGUUUUCAACCUCAUGAUAUCAGUCACACUUUUUGUUGGUCGAUUUGACAUGCGUAUGAUGCAGGUACAUGCCUGUGAUUUAAAGGCUUGAUUCCUCAUUUUGGCUGCUAUGAACAAAGGUCCAGACGAAUCUAAGAGCGGCGACCUUUUAUACGAUCAUCUUGAUGGAAAAGACGAACUUUCAUUUGACAUCAUUGCAGAUGCCGGCGAUUGUGGCAACUCUACAUAUGCCAUAGCACCCUUACUUGCUCAACGUUCUUUAGUCGUAAAAUCUGAUGAUUCCAGGCUUAUAUUUCCCGGUGGAGAACUACUACUUAUUGGUGGAAACCUCGUGUAUGCUGCAUACUUUGAUCGUUUACACCAUUUGAAGUUUUCAGUUCAUGUUUGCUGAUUAAUGACUAGUAAAUGUUUUGCUUGUCAUAUGCUAAUUUAUGAGAAAAGUGAUUCUACCA